GGUCCUGUGCACCUAGGUGGGUGAGGAGACGCGAGGAGGAGGAGGUGGCAGCCGUACUGAAGAUCCUCAGGAGCUAAGGGAAGCAACAACAGCAGGCAGCAUGGAAAAGAGCAUAAGAACACAAAAAUGCGAGAGCAGCCUGCUUCUUUGUCGUAUAAUUCUUCUAUAGGUGGCACGUUUAACGCUGGAGCUUGCAAUUCCUGUGGACACAGAGGAGCACCUCGAGCCAUGGCCUGCCCCUUGGACCCCUGAGCAGAGCCUGAGGCCAUGCUGUCCCUGUCACCAGGAACCCGCAGCCUUUCCUCUGGCUGUCAGAGUCCUCUAACUCUGGACAAAAAUAUGCAACAGAUUCUGAAACCUUGAUUGCUCCUUCAUCAAUGUAUUGAUGUUUAUGACAGUGAUAAAAAUGUGC